AUGACGAAAAAUUCAAGGAGCAUGAAAUAUUCGUCUGCUGAGCUCAGAUCAACGCGUUAUUUAAGGCCCUUCAGCCAUUGUAGUUUCAAGAGAGUUGCUACCCAGGAGCCAACAUUAGCAGCAACGGAGAAAUGUGCAUGGAAAGACGCGAUCUGUCCAGUCUGCAUCGAAUGCCCGCAUGAUGCUGUCCUUCUACUCUGUUCAUCUCAUGACAAAGGCUGCCGUCCAUAUGUAUGUGGAACCAGCUUCCUCCACUCAAAUUGUCUCGACCAACUUAUAGAGUCAUGCAGAAGCCCAGGAAGCGGCGAUGAUCCAGGCUCGAUAGUGCUCACAUGCCCUCUUUGCCGUGGUGAGGUUAAGGGAUAUACACUGGUUGAGCCUGCUCGGGAGCAGCUAAACAGAAACAGGAGGAGCUGCAUGCAAGAUGGCUGCUCAUACAGUGGUACAUACAGAGAACUCUGCAGGCAUGCACGAAAGAAGCAUCCUUCGGCAAAGCCUCGUGCUGCGGACCCUCUACAGACUUACAGAUGGAGGCGACUCAUGUUCAGAACCACGUUGCAAGACAUGAUCUGCGCAACGAGCUCGUCAAUGCUCCAAGAGCUAUUGUCUGCCAUGUUGCAGUGGGAGGAGCUUCUGUCAUCUGGUUGGCGUGGAGGUGAUGAUCACCUUGGUGCUGCUAAUGAUACUGCAGUGUAA
rnacentral:rRNA from 1 species